rnacentral:tRNA from 1 species
GGAGAGAUGGCCGAGUUGGCUGAAGGCGCUCGCCUGCUAAGCGAGUAUGGGGGUUAUACUCCAUCAUGGGUUCGAAUCCCAUUCUCUCCGCCA